rnacentral:tRNA from 1 species
GCCCGGGUGGCGAAAUUGGUAGACGCAACGGACUUAAAAUCCGUCGGAGCUUAUCCCUCCAUACCGGUUCGAUUCCGGUUCCGGGCACCA